AUUUCAUAAGAGAGAGAGAAGCAGAGAGAAAGAACGAGAACCGUGCUGUGGAAAAGCAGGUGUGAAUGAAUAAACUAUAGUUUGCUACCCUAUGGGAUACUGAUGAAACAAAUAGAAUUUUCACAGACAUGGAUAAUACAAGAACACAAGACACUCUUUCACAGUUAAGCCAGGAAAAACUCCUCAAAAUUAUGAACAUGGUGAAAAAUAAAGAAGUGAGCGUUGAAGGAGCUUUACAUUUGGCACAGAAAGAGGUGUAUGCUGAAAAGGAUUCACAGGACUUGCUAACUGGCUCACAAUUUAACUUCAUUAUCUACAAAUACAAACACUAUCGGUGGCAGAAACGAAUUUUGCAGAUUGAUUUCAACACAAGGACCAUUUUUAACAUUGAAAAAGGAAUUAUUAAGAAACAGUUUCCUUUCUCACAAGUCAAAGCCUGUGAAGAUACUGAAAGGAGGCGCUUCAGCAUUGUGUUUCAUGGACGACAAGAUUAUGAGCUGGAAGCAGUGUCUCUUGAUGAUAAAAGGAAGAUAACAUACCUUCUGAGCAGAGUUAUACAGAGCAAUUCAUACAAGAGACCAGCAGAGUCCUGCUCUGGAAGACCUGCAGAAUGCGAAGUGAUACAUGAAGGACUGCUGGAUUUGCAGCAAAAUACUUUGACAUCCACUGAAUGGGUGAAGUACUUGGUGCAACUACGUGAAGGAGAGUUGACUUUAUAUUGCAUAGGUCUGGGAGGAAAGAACAAGACUGCAGACCCUGUAACGAAUACAAUUAAUUUGGCAGGUGGUAAUGUGAGUGUCAGCAAGGAGAAUGGAUGCAGUACCUUUUCAGUUCAGACCAAAGAACACAAUUAUUUGUUUCGAAUACCCUUUACUGUCCAAAAUAACAGGACAGAGGAUGUUAGCAAGCUCCAGAAUGAAUGGGUGUCUCUCAUAGAAAGGUACUGUCAGCCGUGCAAGGGUGCCUCGCUGCCUCAGGAGGGAUCUCAAGGAUGCACCUCCUCUGAAGCUGAUUAUGAGGAUUUUACUGUACCUUUGAAUGAACAGAAAGAGGAGGCCUUCCACUUCGCUGUGAGUUCCGCAACAACCUGUGUGAACAAGUCUUCAGGCCCCCAGACAAAGCCUGCAGAGGGAGAAGCAGCCCCAGCAUCACCAUCUCUUCCCAUAAGUAAGGCAGAGGUACCACCAGCCCCACCUGUGUUCCUGCAGCCCUGCAGCCUCUCUCCAUCAACAAAGAGAACCAAAGCCUUUCACUGGGAUGUUGUUCCUUGUGAUAAGAUCCAAAAAUCUGUUUGGGGAUCAUGUGACCCAUGCAAGAAGAAAAUAGAUGUAUCCAGACUCUGUGAUCAGUUCCAGAUCCAGGACGUGGCAGCAUUUUCAGGCAGCGAGCCUUCAGUGAAUCAGCACAUCAUGCUAGAUCAGAAAGUUGCGCAUAACUUUAACAUUUUUCUUAAAAGUUUCCGUAUAAAACCAAGUGAGCUGAAAGAAAAACUGUACAUUAUACAUGAAGAGAGUGGUGGACUUACAGAUGAGCAGAUUACAGCACUGAGAAGAUACAUGCCAACACCAAAAGAUGCAGAAAGGUACCAGGCAUUCAAGGGGUCAUCUUCAGAGCUGCAUGUGGUUGAUCAGUUUAUGUUAGAGAUGUGUAAAAUCCCCCACUUAGGCCAGAGGCUGGAUCUCCUGCUUACCGUACGUGAGCUCCCUGUGAGCAUGAGAGAUUUGGAGCCUCUAAUAAACCAGAAAAUCCAAGCGAGUAAGCAGCUGCAAUCCAGCCAGAAAUUUGUUGCUGUCUUGGAGUAUGUUUUAGCCAUUGGGAACCAUUUAAAUGAAAAGGCUGGAAAAGAUAAGGCUAAAGGAUUUCGUUUGUCAUCUUUGACCAAAUUACCUUUGUUGCGGGGUAAAGAGAGGACAUUCACCUUGCUUCAUGCCCUUGUGGAACAGAUCUUCUUACAUGAGCCUGAUCUGGCCAAAUUUUCUCAAGAGUUGACAGAAUUUGAAGCUGUACCAGAUGCUUCCAUGAAAGGCCUCUGUGCUGAAGUUGAUGUUUUAAAAAAAGAAUUGGAAAACAUUAUUCAGUGGAGACGGCUUCUUAAACCCAAGACAAUCAAGGCAACACCCCAGGAGUCACAGUUCUGCAAGGAACUAAAGGAUUUAAUUCAGAAAUAUGAAGGGGAUCUAUCCCAGCUGUCAAAAAGAUGUGAUGAAAUGAAGAAGCUUUAUAGCAACAUACUGGUAAAAUUUGGGGAGCCACAAGACCUAGACUCUCAGGAGCUAUUUGGCUGGGUAUCUUCAUUCAUUAGUGAGUUUAGGAAGGCCUGUGCUGAAGUCGCACCAUAAGAACAACACACAUCUUACAAAGAGCUCUGUGAGAAGCAAACCUGGCCCCAGCUGUGAAUGCCGCUGCUCCACUUCUGCCUUCCAUCCACCCCUCGUCUUAGAGGAUGCCUGAGAUCUUUGAGGAAGAGGCUCAACAGACUAUGCAUUUGACAUGAGCUGUCUUCAGCAAAAGCGUGCCUGAGAGAAGCCCCAUCCUCUGGGACUGGAGCUCCCGAUGGGAAUCCCUGGCUUUAUCCACUUGCCCAGUGUCUCAGCGUGCUCAGAUCUGCCCCAAGAAAUGCGGUAAGAAAUGGAGCUUGGACAGGCACGGGUCACUGCAUUGACUUGAGCUCCCAGAGGGGCCAGUGUAACAUGUGUACCAGCACUCACAAGGGCUUUCAAUGAAUUCGCUGUCUGAAAUACAAAUAUUUUCCCCCAGAGGUAGAAAUUUUCCCAGAGUUUCUUCAAACCAAAAAAUGUAAAGAGUUGAGAUUGUCCAGCAAUAGACUCAGUGGGAAAAAUUUAACUUUCACAAACGGACAAUUAUAUCCUAGGACAAUGGCUAUCCUUUUCUUUCCAGUUUUUAAUUUUUUUUUUCUCCUUUCUGAUUUGAACUGCCGGGCAACAGGCAGAGUGCACCUGCUAAUUUUUAUAAAUGAAUUUUUUAUAAAAGAAAAAUCAAAAUUGUGGUCACUUGGAAGGUGUUCUAUGCAUAAAGGCUUUGAAGUCACUUAUGUAUGAUGGUCUCCUAGUUUGAAUUAAUGCUUUUCAAAUAAAAAACACCGAUUGUAGGAGAAGAAAAAAUUGUGUUAGACAAAGCAAAUAAAAACAUGGGGUCUCUAAAAGGGAACCUGUUGGGCAUCCACUGUACCACCAAAGCCUGAAAGUAUUCUUAGAAAAUACUCACUCCUGUGCUUAAGAAGGUGCUGCUAAUGACUCAAAACCACAAACUAAUAUCAAGCUGUUCGCCUUAAAGAAGAAUAUAUUAAAAAAAUCAAACUGAAGGGCUGCUUUGAUGAAGUGCUGAAGUGCUCUGACUCAAGCAGGGACUCAGCAAGCUCUUGGUGAGAUCCUUCCCUGCAUUGCUCACAGAAGUUUUGCUGUGGAUAUUCAUAGAACCAAGAUUUCAUUCCCUGAUUUAAAAGAUGUUUCCAGACUGCCAAAAUGCUUGACUGUUAAGUUUUCUUACCAAACUAAAUGCAAAUCUUUCCACUGUUGCUGCUCACUGCCCAAGUAGAAAGUACCAAAAGUUGAACCAUCUACUUUAUUCCCGAAGUAACAAAGAAGGAAGAGCCUUUGAAUGGCAACUCUAACUCGGGCUCAUGCAGGAAUUAAGCUGAUUAGGAAAAUUAAACCCAACCAAAAUCCUUUUGAUUACGGAUUUACUGAACUUGCCCUGCUAAAGGACAACCCAGCUGCGAUGACUCUGCUCUCCAAGCUGAAGAGACACAUUUGAUGGAGCAGCCGCGCGGAGCCAGCCUGUGGCACGCCAAGCUGACGGAUGAUCCUCUGGCUCUCGCAGCCUCUCCUGUAAAGGGACUGAUUGUGCUGAGGCCGUGUGGGUGUUCUGGGCAAGACAGACAUUUUAGGGAAUGAAAUUCAGGCAACAGUUGUGAUUCACUUCAGUCCUUCACACCUCUUCCCCUUGCAGCUGUGCAAAAACUGUCAAGUGUUAAACUGAGCUGUGCAUAGCACAGGACUGUCCAGAGAUGCAGAGAGUCGGUUGGAAGGAGGAAACUUAAGUGCCAGGCGCUAUUUCAAGAAACGUUUGUGUAUUUUUCUAUCAAAACCUGUUGGUUAAAAUACAGAACCACCACUGGCAGAGAGGCCAGCCCUUAUAUCUACCUCUCUCAAAGAAAAGGCUUUUGACUAUAGGCUGAGGAGCUAGAAACCCCAGACCCUGAUUUCUGUGAACAUGGUGACUACACCCAGAUUUUGUAUCCAGUUCUGAGGACCAAAUGCCCAAAAGUUAUGCAGAACCUGUGUUUUAGAAAGUUUGGAGGGGAUUUGAAGGAAGACUUCUAGCCCAGCUCCUGCAGUGCUGUGCUUCCCGUGCCCUGCCUGAUCAUCUGCCAUGGUAUCCUCUUGGUUGGUCCUUGAUGUGUGUGGAUGUAGCAGGACCAUCUGAUAUGACCCAUGCUGCAAGGAGGUUGGAAACUAGUCCAAGCAGCAAAUGGAUGCAAUGAAAGUCGG